rnacentral:rRNA from 1 species
AUUGAACGCUGGCGGCAGGCCUAACACAUGCAAGUCGAGCGAGCGGCGGACGGGUGAGUAAUGCCUGGGAAUUGCCCAGUCGAGGGGGAUAACAGUUGGAAACGACUGCUAAUACCGCAUACGAUUGGAUUGCCCAGGUGGGAUUAGCUAGUUGGUGAGGUAAUGGCUCACCAAGGCGACGAUCCCUAGCUGGUCGGAGAGGAGGAUCAGCCAAACUGGAACGGGGCCAGGGUCCAGCCUCCUACGGGAGGAAGCAGUGGGGAAUAUUGCAAAAGGGGGGAAACCCGGAUGCAGCAAUGCCGCGUGUGGGAAGAAGGCCUUCGGUUUGAAAAGCACUUUCAGCGAGGAGGCGUUACUCGCAGAAGAAGCACCGGCUAACUCCGUGCCAGCCGCCGCGGUAAUAC